CCCCUCUUGAGCCUGGAGCCUGGCUUUGAGACAGCUCUUCCAAGAAUAAGUUGAGAAAACUGAAGACCAUAGAGAUGAAAUGACUUGCCCACCACAGCCAGCUUACGUGGGAUCCAAAAGGACAAGCUAAGCUUCUGAUCUCUAACAGUGACACAAGAAGGGGGCAAUUCCAGGAAUGUCUAGUACUGAGAGAAGGAGUAAAACAACUUGCCCUCCCCAGUGUGGGGGGUCUCAUCCAAUCUGUUGAAGGC